AGGUAAUAGGAUAUUAUUAGAACCAGUGAUGGAGGCGCAAGAAGCUUUGGAAAGAAGUUUGAUAAGAGGAGACGAGUGAUUUCCCCAGCGUUUAACACAGCGUGAAGGAUGGAAGGUCACCAUUAUUUCCAGUAUGGUGAUGGUAAUAGUGACCGUAGUUACCGUAGUAGGUUCAAAUGCACUGAUAACAGCACAUGGACAAAUUCAAGAUAAUAACUAGAUAUAAAAACGGUAUAUUAUAAAAACGUGCUUCAAUAACACAUCUUAUGAAGAAUUCUACAACCAAAGUUUGGAAAACAAGCCUUUAUUAAAACAAGUUUAUGGAUCAGUCAAAUAUAUACCUAGUAAAAUCAA